rnacentral:misc_RNA from 1 species
GAUGAAGAACGUAGCGAAAUGCGAUAAGUAGUGUGAAUUGCAGAAUUCAGUGAAUCAUCGAAUCUUUGAACGCACAUUGCGGCCAUAGGUAUUCCUUUGGCCAUGCCUGUUCGAGCGUCAUUUACACCCUCAAGCCUAGCUUGGUGUUGGCGUCUGUCCCGCCGUUCUCGCGCGCGGACUCGCCUCAAAGUCAUUGGCGGCGGUCGUGCCGGCCCCCUCGCGCAGCACAUUUGCGCUUCUCGGAGGCCCGGCGGAUCCGCGCUCCAGCAAGACCUUUCACGACUUGACCUCGGAUCAGGUAGGGAUACCCGCUGAACUUAAGCAUAUCAAUAAGCGGAGGA